GACGAACGCUGGCGGCGGGCUUAACACAUGCAAGUCGAACGGAAAGGCCCUGCUUUUGUGGGGUGCUCGAGUGGCGAACGGGUGAGUAACACGUGAGUAACCUGCCCUUGACUUUGGGAUAACUUCAGGAAACUGGGGCUAAUACCGGCUAGGAGCUCCUGCUGCAUGGUGGGGGUUGGAAAGUUUCGGCGGAUGGGGAUGGACGCGCGGCUUAUGAGCUGGUGGGUGGGGUAGUGGCUUACCAAGGCUUUGACGGGUAGCCGGCCUGAGAGGGUGACCAGCGACAUUGGGACUGAGAUACGGCCCAGACUCGUACGGGAGGCAGCAGUGGGGAAUAUUGCACAAUGGGCGGAAGCCUGAUGCAGCAACGCCGGGUGCGGGAUGAAGGCCAUCGGGUUGUAAACCGCUUUCGCCUGUGACGAAGCGUGAGUGACGGUAGUGGGUAAAGAAGCACCGGCUAACUACGUG
rnacentral:rRNA from 1 species